UACGUAGGUGGCAAGCGUUGUCCGGAAUUAUUGGGCGUAAAGCGCGCGCAGGCGGUCCUUUAAGUCUGAUGUGAAAGCCCACGGCUCAACCGUGGAGGGUCAUUGGAAACUGGGGGACUUGAGUGCAGAAGAGGAAAGCGGAAUUCCACGUGUAGCGGUGAAAUGCGUAGAGAUGUGGAGGAACACCAGUGGCGAAGGCGACUACCUGGCCUGUUCUUGACGCUGAGGCGCGAAAGCUAGGGGAGCAAACGGG
rnacentral:rRNA from 1 species